rnacentral:rRNA from 1 species
GGUGCCUUCGGGAACUCUGACACAGGUGCUGCAUGGCUGUCGUCAGCGUCGUGUCGUGAGAUGUUCGGGUUAAGUCCCGUAACGAGCGCAACCCUUGUCCUAGUUACCAGCACGUUAUGGUGGGCACUCUAAGGAGACUGCCGGUGACAAACCGGAGGAAGGUGGGGAUGACGUCAAGUCAUCCAUGGCCCUUACGGCCUGGGCUACACACGUGCUACAAUGGUCGGUACAAAGGGUUGCCAAGCCGCGAGGUGGAGCUAAUCCCAUAAAACCGAUCGUAGUCCGGAUCGCAGUCUGCAACUCGACUGCGUGAAGUCGGAAUCGCUAGUAAUCGUGAAUCAGAAUGUCACGGUGAAUACGUUCCCGGGCCUU